CGCUGGCGGCGCGCUUAACACAUGCAAGUCGCACGAGAAAGUGGAGCAAUCCAUGAGUACAGUGGCGUACGGGUGAGUAACACGUGGAUCAUCUACCUCGUAGUGGGGAAUACCCCCGGGAAACUGGGGAUAAUACCGCAUAAUCCUGUGAAGGGAAAGCCGAAAGGCGCUGUGAGAGGAGUCCGCGGCCGAUUAGCUAGUUGGUGAGGUAAUGGCCCACCAAGGCGAAGAUCGGUAGCCGGCCUGAGAGGGCACACGGCCACACUGGCACUGAAACACGGGCCAGACUCCUACGGGAGGCAGCAGUGGGGAAUCUUGCACAAUGGAGGAAACUCUGAUGCAGCGACGCCGCGUGAGCGAUGAAGCCCUUCGGGGUGUAAAGCUCUUUCGACGGGAACGAUAAUGACGGUACCCGAAGAAGAAGCUGCGGCU
rnacentral:rRNA from 1 species